GUUUUAAUAUUUUAAAUAAAAUACUGGUCUUGUAAAUCAGAGAUAAGAAAAUUUCUUUUAAAACU
rnacentral:tRNA from 1 species